rnacentral:rRNA from 1 species
UUCCGGUUGAUCCUGCCGGAGAUUACUGCUAUCAGGAUUCGACUAAGACAUGCUAGGUGAAUGCGGUUCGUCCGCAUGCCGAAUAGCUCAGUAACACGUAGUUAACUUGCCCUCAGGACUGGGAUAACCUUGGGAAACUGAGAUUAAUACCGGAUAGAAAAUAGAUACUGGAAGGUUCUAUUUUCAAAAGUUCCGAUGCCUGAGGAUAGGACUGCGGUGGAUUAGGCUGUUGUGGGUAUAAAGGACCCACAAACCUAUAAUCCAUGCGGGCGUUGAGAGACGGAGCCCGGAGAUGCGUUCUGAGACAAGAAUGCAGGUCCUACGGGACGCAGCAGUCGCGAAAACUUUACAAUACCUGAAAGGGUGAUAAGGGAAUCCUGAGUGCUCCAGCAUUGCUGGAGCUUUUCUAGAGUGUAAAAAGCUUUGGGAAUAAGUGGUGGGUAAGACGGGUGCCAGCCGCCGCGGUAAUACCCGCGCCACGAGUGGUAAUCACGGUUAUUGGGUCUAGAGCGUUCGUAGCCGGCUUAGAAAAUUCUUGGUGAAAUUUCAUGUAAAACAUGGAAAGUGCCAGGAACACUUCUGGGCUAGGAACCGGGAAAGGCUAGGGGUACUCCGAGGGUAAGGGUUAAAUCUUGUAAUCCUUGGAGGACCACCUGUGGCGAAGGCGCCUAGCUGGAACGGCUUCGACGGUGAGGGACGAAAGCCUGGGUCGCAAACGGGAUUAGAUA